GUCGUAUGAUCGCGUUCGAGUUCUCCCAGCUUUACUUCCCGUCUCUACAACUCCAGCAGCUUGGUAUUCAGUGCUUCUCCUUGCGUCGAGCUACUCCCCAGUGUGAUCCGCUUGGAGAACGCCUGUCUGCCCUCUGGAGUCCUGCACCGUUCCUCUUCGAUUCCGGUUACAGUGUGCUGUACGACGUUCCAGCCCUCCUCGUUGUGCGUGCGUGCAGUACACACAGAGUCGUUCCUGUGUUCUUCUGACUUCAUCAUGAAGAGGACCGCGUCUGGUGUUCCCGUGGCAGCCGGCCAGCCCUCGACAUCAGGAGCCCUCCAGCCCUCGACCUCGGGAGCCGUCCAGCCCUCGACGUCGGGAGCCUGCCAGCUUGUGUCAUCUCAGGUAUGUGCACCAUCAUCAGGGAAUGGGUGUGCAUACUGUGGCAAAGGUUUUACCAAUACUCAAAAUGCCAGA